GAUAAACGCUGACAGAAUGCUUAACACAUGCAAGUCAAUGAUGGGAAGCUAAGCUAAGCUUAGAAGAAGUCAUGGCGGACGGGUGAGUAACGUGUAAAGAACUUGCCCUCUAGACUGGGAUAACAGAUAGAAAUGUCUGAUAAUACCGGAUAUUAUUGUUACGUGGCAUCACUUGAUAGUCAAAGAUUUAUUGCUGAAAGAUGGCCUCGCGUCUGAUUAGCUAGUUGGUGGGGUAACGGCCCACCAAGGCGACGAUCAGUAGCCGGACUGAGAGGUUGACCGGCCACAUUGGGACUGAGAUACGGCCCAG
rnacentral:rRNA from 1 species